AGUGAACGCUGGCGGUAGGCCUAACACAUGCAAGUCGAACGGCAGCACAGUAAGAGCUUGCUCUUACGGGUGGCGAGUGGCGGACGGGUGAGGAAUACAUCGGAAUCUACUUUUUCGUGGGGGAUAACGUAGGGAAACUUACGCUAAUACCGCAUACGACCUACGGGUGAAAGCAGGGGAUCUUCGGACCUUGCGCGAUUGAAUGAGCCGAUGUCGGAUUAGCUAGUUGGCGGGGUAAAGGCACACCAAGGCGACGAUCCGUAGCUGGUCUGAGAGGAUGAUCAGCCACACUGGAACUGAGACACGGUCCAGACUCCUACGGGAGGCAGCAGUGGGGAAUAUUGGACAAUGGGCGCAAGCCUGAUCCAGCCAUACCGCGUGAGUGAAGAAGGCCUUCGGGUUGUAAAGCCCUUUUGUUGGGAAAGAAAAACAGCAUAUUAAUACCCCGAUGUUCUGACGGUACCCAAAGAAUAAGCAACGGCUAACUUCGUG
rnacentral:rRNA from 1 species